AUACGUAGGGGGCGAGCGUUGUCCGGAAUGAUUGGGCGUAAAGGGCGCGUAGGCGGCCCGGUAAGUCUGGAGUGAAAGUCCUGUUUUUAAGAUGGGAAUUGCUUUGGAUACUGUCGGGCUUGAGUGCGGAAGAGGUAAGUGGAAUUCCCAGUGUAGCGGUGAAAUGCGUAGAGAUUGGGAGGAACACCAGUGGCGAAGGCGACUUACUGGGCCGUAACUGACACUGAGGCGCGAAAGCGUGGGGAGCGAACAGGAUUAGAUACCCUGGUAGUCCACGCGGUAAACGAUGAAUGCUAGGUGUUGCGGGUAUCGACCCCUGCAGUGCCGGAGUCAACACAAUAAGCAUUCCGCCUGGGGAGUACGGCCGCAAGGUUGAAACUCAAAGGAAUUGACGGGG
rnacentral:rRNA from 1 species